UACUAGCUACUUUCGGAUUUCAGAUGCGAUUUUGGAAUCUGUUUUAGUUUCAAAUGUUAUGAUUUAUAGUACAGUUGCACGUUCUCUGUGCCCAAAAUUUGCACACGUGAAUUGUUAUUUAAGUAUUUACAAUGGAAUAUUUGUGCUAUAACGGACAACUGUACCAUUUUAGAAGUUGUUGCAUCACAGAUGUCGAUUUGGGCAAAAUCAACAACGAGCAAUCAGGAACAGAAAGAAGCUGUUCUGCCAAGGCAAGAGCUGGGCAUCACACAAGCCAUUCUAUCCAGCAAAACUGACAGUUUCGGUUUACAGAAAUCAACAAGGGAUUCCUGAACUAU